UACGGAGGAUCCGAGCGUUAUCCGGAUUUAUUGGGUUUAAAGGGUGCGCAGGCGGGAGAUUAAGUCGGCGGUGAAAUUUUGCAGCUCAACUGUAAAAGUGCCUUCGAAACUGGUUUCCUUGAGUGUAGAUGAAGUAGGCGGAAUUUGUGGUGUAGUGGUGAAAUGCAUAGAUAUCACGAGGAACUCCGAUUGCGCAGGCAGCUUACUAAACUACUACUGACGCUCAGGCACGAAGGCGUGGGGAUCAAACAGGAUUAGAUACCCGCGUAGU
rnacentral:rRNA from 1 species